UACGUAGGGUGCGAGCGUUGUCCGGAAUUAUUGGGCGUAAAGGGCUCGUAGGCGGUUUGUCGCGUCGGGAGUGAAAACCCAGGGCUUAACCCUGGGCUGGCUUCCGAUACGGGCAGACUAGAGGUAUGCAGGGGAGAACGGAAUUCCUGGUGUAGCGGUGAAAUGUGUAGAGAUCGGGAGGAACACCGGUGGCGAAGGCGGGUCUCUGGGCAAUUCCUGACGCUGAGGCGCGAAAGCGUGGGGAGCAAACGGG
rnacentral:rRNA from 1 species